rnacentral:rRNA from 1 species
AAGGUUGCAAGUAGGAAGGAAGGGCAGCGGAAGAGAGGAGUGUCUAAAGAGGGGGGUUUAAGCGGGGGAAGAGUCGGGGUAAAAGGUCGUCGGCCACGAGGGAGGAAGCAGCGCUAAACCAGAGGGCCGCCGCUGCUCUCGUGCCGCUGCGUCGUUUCGGUCGGAGUGACCAACGGCCGUGACCUGGCCGCGCCUAACUAAAGAAGAAAGGAACCUAUUCGUAACUAGGACCUAAAUCGAUAAAGAAUACAGUAUUCGUCUAUUCGACGUUACUUCCUAAGAGUCCUAUAAGUCUCGUGGUGUCUCAACGUCUACAGUGGGGUCCCAUGAUUACUUCACGUUUCAUUGGUUGAUUUGUGUUACCGGUGACUACGUGGACGUCCUCUAGGGCCAAGACACCGUCAGCGAUUGUUACUAUUAUCUUUUCAGAGGGCACUUCUGUAACUUGAACAGGUUUUAAACUAUCUCGCGACAGACGUCGACAUGUACUGGUUUCCUCUCCAACAAUCCUGUGAAAGAUGAGCACGAUCUUAUCUUGGACCGAAGUGAUGAAAUCAUACCGUCUUUGAACUUCUUCUCUUGAGACUUAAGAAAGCCCGAAUGAUAUAUUCUAACUUUAACUUUUCUGUCUAACAGAACAAGUUGGUAAAUAACGUCGUGGUCAUAUUGAACUACUUUAUAGGUCGUGGAGGCUUACAAGGCGACCGAGGGUACGUUUUACCUUACGUAGGAAACGGUCAAUUGUUAGAUGGCUACCCCAUAGGUCAUGAAGUCGUUGGAGACUACGGACGAGGGCCGGUCGGAGUGUAACUAGGCUACCAAACACCAGAUAGGUCACCAGUACAUCACUUACCCUAGGGACGUGGUCCACCAAUAGUAGGUUACGCGUACUUGAGACCUUUACUGUACCAACACCUGUUGCCACGUGGACUUCAACGUGUACGACCACGAUACAGUAGACUAUACCGACACUCAGGGAGUAGUCGUCGUAGUUCGGUACGAGGAAAGUGAGGUAGACUCUAUGGUCCCUACCGGUACCUAUGUAGUCAGGACCUAAGUCGUAAACCUAGACUCUAUCCCUUGUGUCCUGGAGACGUUAAUCCCCGUCUACCCAGCAGUUCCCUUAGGUAGGCUAGGAACCCCGUCGAGACCUUAAAGUCGGAGAGACUAGAAUGUCGUCUAAACUGUUCAAAUCCUCUGAACCUCCGAGAACUCUUAAUACGCCCAUGGGGAAAGGACGGGAGUCUGAGCCUAGAGAAUGAACUAAGGGGUCUGGUACUACUGUAUCAACUCAUGAAACGCCUGCGGUAGUUGCCCAGAGUUAGCCUGCUUCUCUUCGGUAUCUUCUUGUCUGAGUCUUAUCAGGGUAACUCUAAAUCAGGACCGAUCUCACAGUAGAGUACAUCACAUUAGAGCGUCGGGCACGUAUGGCCGCGUUAUAGUCUGACCCACAAGCGGGUCUCCACGCCAUUAACGCGCAGUGAUUCCUUAAAACAUCACCGGUUACGAUCAAGAAGCCUUAUUAGUCGGAGUCCGUCGGAAGUGGCCUAUUUCAACGACAGAUGUUCAGACUUUUCAAAUCUUUUUUUUUAACACAGCUUGGAGUCCUUGUUUAGUUUGGGAAACAUUAACGACUUGUUCACCUGUCAAGUAGACCAUAACGCGGUAAAGCACAGAAGGUCCAACGUACAUGUCGGUUAAGUUCCAGAGGACAUGCCCGGACAAAGAUAAAAAAGAAAGAGAGACUCUCAUGCGGCUACCGCACGGUACAUACACAAGCUCUUACGUAGUUUAAUUUCUCAAGUGAUCUCCGAAAAGAGUCC